rnacentral:lncRNA from 1 species
GACACUGAGCUAGGGUGGCCAUGCCUCGCCCUGACCUCAGGCCCAUGGGCCCCGUGGAUGAGCAGGGGCAUGCAGGACAGGCCUGCAGGGCAGGGCAGGGCAGUAGGGUUUUCAUCGGCAAAGCCCCGUGAUCCUCACAGUAGCCCCAGGAGUUGGACCAGCCUGGACCCUUACCCCAUUUUACAGCCAGAAACAAGAUAAGCGCCUUGCAGGGGCCCUUAACUGACUGCUGGGUUCGAUGGUUCAAAGAGAAAAAGCACGUGAUAACUUUGAAGGAGGCUGCCUGGCUGAGCUGAUCGGAUCACCUAGAGACUGGAAAUGCUUUCUGGUCUGAAGUCACCUGCCCUAUCUGGACAUUCCAUAGACUACCACUUUUACCCACGACUUCGAUGUGGCAUGCUCAUUGGACCAGAUAAGCAAGCAGUGGCAAGUGGAUUGGAGGUCUUGGAAUAUGAAGGCCUGGCCCUCGUCUCAGCUUGGAAUAAAUCUGAAGGCCCAUCACAGCUUCAGAGAUGCUUGGAGAAGGCUGAGGUCUCCCCUGUAACCUUAUGAGAACCUUGAGUUGUUGAACUCAUUAAUUCUUUGGGACCAUCUUCCUGAUGUUCAAGUUUGUGAAACAGGCUUUCCCUUUAAGAUUUGUUUUCCUCAAAAUACAAGACUAUUGAUGCUUCAGUUUUGAAGUGGAUUCUGCACUCAAGAAAUGUACCAUUGAAGAAUGGGACUGGUAGGAAGGGAAAAAAACUAAAAGGAAACGCAUUUUCGAGUUGCACAUCAUGAUCAGGCACAGAGUCCAGAUACACUUGGAGUAGCAAGCAUCCAUCCUUGUGGAGACGCACAUGAACCAGGACUCUCUGCACCCACCCCUCUCAAGUUUUAUUUUCCGACGGCUGUAAUGUUCCAGGACACCUGCCAUCAUGGAGGGUUAUCCAGCACCUGGAGGAUACCUGCUACCUAUUUUGUGAACAAUUUGGCAUGAGGAGAGAAAGGAACCUGAAGUUUUUAGCAAGGAAGGGCCCUGAUGAUGGUUGCCUUCAACAUUGCCUCAAUACUCAACAUCCAAGACAGCCCUGGCUUAGCAACUGGAAUCACGGAUGGGGAAAAUUUUUUCUCAAGCACAUGUGAAAUUUGGCUGUCAGACCACCUUCAUCUGCACAGAAAGCUAAAUGUAUUGCCUAGUUUUGCAACUUCAUAUGACUGUUCGCCAAACUGGAAUAAUUGUUGCAUUUGUGUGUGACUUCUCAGUAUUCCUAUGGCAUUACCACCAUAGCACCCCUAUGUCAAAUGGUGAAAGAAUUAGGUGAGGUUUUGUGAACGUUUAGAGUAACUUUGUUUUUUUGCAUCAACAUUCAAGAAGCACUCCUUCCCUUCCACUGCAGUAGAACCUUGAGGUCCCUCUCAGAUUUCUGUGGGGUGUCUGUGGUCUGCU